CCUCCUGGCUGUCGAGCUUGGAGCCCUUGCACCCCAUCGCGCGUGCGCGGGGGCGGGGCGGUCUAGCCCGGAGGGAGAAACAAAACUCAAAAAGGAUCUCUCGAGCCGAGUGUACCUACCUACUGCUGCUGCUCGCCCCGCGCAUUAUGGCGUUCGGUGAGGAGGUUGGCGGGAGGACGCCGUCGCGCGGAGCGGAGUGUGGUCGGGCGACAAUGGCGACGUGUGGACGUGAUGUGGUGGGAACAGGGAAGGGGAGUGGAGUAGGGGAGCUGAGCUGAGCUUGGCGGAGGAGGCAGAGAGNGAGGGUUGGGGGAAGGCGAGGCGGGCAGGGGAGGGCAGAGCGGAGGGGGGCAGCAGAGAAGAGAAGGAUCUUCUUUUUUAUCGUCAACACACUUUUCGUUUCUUUUGCGGGGCUUG
rnacentral:lncRNA from 1 species